AUUGAACGCUGGCGGCAGGCCUAACACAUGCAAGUCGAGCGAGCGGCGGAAGGGUGAGUAAUGUCUGGGAAACUGCCUGAGGGAGGGGGAUAAAUACUGUAAACGGGAGCUCAUACCGCAUACGAUCAGAUGUGCGCAGAUGGGAUUAGCUAGUCGGUGGGGGAACGGCUCACCUAGGCGACGAUCCCUAGCUGGUCUGAGAGGAUGACCAGACACACUGGAACUGAGACACGGUCCAGACUCCUACGGGAGGCAGCAGUGGGGAAUAUUGCACAAUGGGCGCAAGCCUGAUGCAGCCAUGCCGCGUGUGUGAAGAAGGCCUUCGGGUUGUAAAGCACUUUCAGCGGGGAGGCGUUACCCGCAGAAGAAGCACCGGCUAACUCCGUGCCAGCAGCCGCGGUAAUAC
rnacentral:rRNA from 1 species